CCCAGGUGCCUCUCCUCUCCAACCCCCCCCCCCAUCCUCUCUGCUCAGCCUGUCUAGUGUCCCUGCUGGAGCAUCCAGAGCCCCUGUGAGGUGACGUUUGCUGGGAGAGCACAGGGCCCUGCAUCCCCAUGCCGGUGUCCCUCCUGAGCCCUCGUGGCUCCAGGCCUGGAACUCAGCUGAAUCUGAGCCUCUUCAGGCCCCUCACUGGCCUCUGGGCCUCGAGUCCAUGGUGACUUUGGGUGACUGACCCUCACUGGGCCCAGCAGCUCCGGUUUGUUCAGGGGCAUCUCCCUCUGGAGCAGGGACCCUGGUCCGUAUCUAGUCCCCACUGAGAACAACCUGGAGCUUUUAGAGAGUGCUGGCACUUGUCGGGGAUGCCCAGGCCAGUGUUGGCAUUUGCUUUUCUCAACUUCCCCAGGUGAUCCUGGAACCAGAGGGCUGGGUGUUGCUGGGACCCUCAUCUGCUGGCCCGUGUCCCCGAGGUUCCUUGGGCCUGGGGAGCAAGUCUUCCCUAGAAUUCUGCCUCCUCUGUACCUCUGUGCCCCUGCACAGGACCGUGCUGUGUCUUUGCUCUUUGAACUCAGUGUGUGGCCCUGCCCCUGGGACCUUGGCCCACGUCAUCUGGGUGGCAGGUGGCAGGUGGUGGUGGUUGUGUUACUCCUGGACCUGCAGGGGAGAAGCUGCAGAUUCAGGACCUGAUGCCCUUCUGGGCAUUGCCGGGAGGUAUGAUUUAAAGAUAAAUUUAUAUCCGAUAUGAAAAACAGGACUUUACAAAUGUCGUGUCUGCACGUGGUGACUAUGUGAGCAAACAAAGAAUGAGGGGGCCACUCUCCUUCCCUCUGCUCUCCUCACACCCCUCUGGGCCCUCCCCAGAGCAUCAGCCCCUCAUGGUCUUCUGGGUCCCUCCUGGGAUUCCCUGUCACAGCCUUGUCCCCCUGCCUCCUGUCCACCUCCUCAUGGGGUGGCGGGAGGUCCCCUUGGCUUCUCUGGGUCUCCUUCUGUUACAGUCACUGAGCUGCUCUCUGACCCCGGGAGAGAUUUCUGGUCAGGAGUCGGGUGUGUUUGCAUGGGGACGGACAUGGUGGCUCCGGGGACGUGUGUUGGGCUGACGUUUUGGAUGGGGGCUGUGUCACUGUGUGUAUAGUAGAAAGUAUCACCAUAGUCAUCAUCACGGUGACACAGGCCCCCACAAAAUCCUCCGCCUGGCCCUGUGUCCUCUCCCUUCUGUUGGCUCAGGCAGGCUCUGUGGGAACAGCCUGAGUUUCCGGUGGUUACUGUUCUGAACAUCUGGGGUGAGUGGGGAAGACCGUCGGAGCCUCUGUGGGUCCAGGGGCGGCUCUGCACACGGCCUCCUGCGUUUGCUGGCUGGCAGCCCCGGGCACAGCCCUGUGUGGGAGGAUGAGGAGCACCGGCUCCCAGCGCAGGCAGCCCUGGAUCCCCUGCGGCCCGUGUGGCGGCCGGUUGCCUGGCUCGGAUUCUGGCUCUUUCUGUUCUGCUCCGGGCCCGUCUCAGGAACUGUCCCUGGUGUGGCCAAUGAGGGUCUGGCUCCCCUGCCCCCAUCUCGUCUCUGCUGGAAUUUGCUGAUGGGGUUGGUGUCCCACCCGUGAGUUUUCCUGUUGACAGGGGCCUGGGAUUGGCCGCCUAACUCCUGAGAGGCCAGCUCUCCGCAGUGAGCACCAGGAGACCCCCACCUUGUCUCUCCGCGCCCAGCUCGCAGGGCCGCCCCCACAUUCACAGGUGUCUCCCUAGUUGGGGGGUCUCUGAGCUGAGCUUCCCAGACACUCUCGUUCCCCGGCUCAGAGUGAGUGUGGACCUCCUUCCCAGAAACUCUCACGGCCCCCCCAGGGCCCCUGCCCACCGAGAGCACCUGUGUGCUCAGCCAGCCUCAGCCUUUGUCCUGGGAGCUGAAGCCCGGGCUGUCCGCUGUCCACUGUGCUGCCCUCCCGAGGGGCAGGGGGUCCCAGAGUGGCUGCAGUGAGGUCUACUGGCUGGACGGCUCUGUCUGCCUAUCCCACAGGAUUCCAGAGCCCCCGCCGUGUCCAGUGUCUCAGGGCCGUGACAGGUGGGCUGGGUCCACUUCACAGGGCCCAUGAUGUGGAUGCCCAGGCGAGUCUGGUGCUCAACCUAGAGCAUGAGAGCUGCUGUGGGCACUGGACUUGGCCUAAGGGGCUCACGGACACCUGCUUCCGCAUGGGAUCCAAAUAGAGUGGGUGCCGAGUUCAAUGGGCCCUGGUCUUCCAGGUCAGAUAUUCACUCAGUGAGCCUCAGGGGCCUUCACAUUGGUCUAAGUGAUGGAAACAGACUCAUUGUCACUAUUGACAGCAGGGACAGAGUGACUCCAUCUGGGUUUGCACAGAGGAUACAGGCGUUUUAGAGGGAGAGUGAGGGGCAGGGAGGGGCCGAGUGGGGCUCCAGUGAGGACUCAGGAAGGGUGGUCCAUGAGGACGCCCAGUGCUCUGUCCACUGGCCAGCAAUGAAGUGUCAGUUUCUGUCCUCACAGAGACUGGGGGACCCAGGGCCCGUCCUUCCUGGUGGGUCCGUCUCUGAGGAACAGGUCCAGGUCCUGGAUGGAGACGUUCCUGGGUUGUGGGGACACACGCCCCUCACAGGGCAGAGGCAGGAUUCUCAGUAAAUGCUCCCAGGAGGGGGGUCGGGCUGAGUCAGGUGUCGGCUGGAACAGAGGGCAAAUUCUCCUGCAGCACUGGGCUGUCUCAGGCCGGGCUUUCAGGGGUCUGGGGUCUUCGUGGGACGCUGGCUUGGGCUGCCAGAAGCCCUGCAGGGGUGCAGUGGUCUCUUGGUGCGGGGGUCUGGAUGGAGACUCCCGGCCUGGGCUCUGGGAUCUCGGUGCACCCGCACGUGCAGAGCGUGGCUGUCAGGAGAGGCCUCAGGUUCCAGCCUUCAGGGGCCCAGGUCUCUGGGAGGGGGCAUUGCAGGAGGUCUGAGCUGUGGGUAAGACGGAGGAGUGGUUUGCUAAGUGUCUCCCAGGGCUGAGGGCAGGUAGGGCUGAUGCUCAAGCCCUUUGGGAAAAGUGUCACCAGGAUGGAUGACCACUCAAGUGAGGUGUCAGUGCAGUUGAACCGUGACAGACACGUCCCAGCACUGGGGUCUCUGAGGCUGGUGCUGCUGCCACUGUGUUCCCGGGGGCCGGCGCCUGGUUAGGAGCCGGGUCCUCAGCAAACGUUGGGCAGGAGGUGAAGGGGUGCCGGCUCCUCUGAGGGGUUUCCCUGGAGAGAAACUCACUGUGGGUGGAUAUAUAGCAGGGGGCGCCUCCUGGCAGUGACCUCAGCGAGACCCCUGGAGCAGGAGCCUGCACAAGCCCGCUCCUGGGAGAGGCUCCCGGAGCCCUCUUGGGCCAGGCCAGGAUCGGACCCACCUGCCUGGGAUCCUCAGCUGACUGGGAGGUGUCCGACCCCAUGACCCCUGCCCUGCCUCUCUCAUUGGGUGAGCUCCUGUGCAGCCAAGCACAGGCCCAGCUCUGGCGUCUGCUUCUGUCACCCUCCCAGAGGGCCUCUGGGGUCCUGUUGGGCGCUUACCUCUGGUGGUUUUGCCCAGUACUGUCCUUCCUGAUUCCUUUGGCUGGUGGUGUUGAGAACAGGGCAGUUUCUGCCAGCCUGCCAGGCUCUGGGCAUGUGGCUGUGGGUCAGUGUGGUCACAGAGCCCUCAGAAGCCCCCAGCUGUGAGGGCUGUGCCUGGACACAAACCCCUGGGCUGAGUGGUUGGGAGUGGCCCUGGAGGCCGAGGGUCUGGGCUCUGAGCCUUGAGAGCAGCCACUCCUGGCAUUGAGGCCCAGGGGUUCCCAGCAGGUUUUUUCUGCCGGAUCUGUCACUGUGGUUACCCCAGCCAUAGUAACACAGUAGGAAGGUCCUUGACAAAAAGCCCUGUGUGUGGCAGGCGGGCCCCUCUCUUCUGAGGGUCCCAUGGGUCCAGCAUGGCCCAUCUACACAGAUGCCCAGUGCAUCUCUCUUCGUCAGGAUGGUGAGCAGUGGGUGGUCUGGCUGCCACCCUCACCCCUGUCUCCCCAGGAAGGGCGUGUGUGACCCCUGCUGAAGGGAUGGGCAGAGGCAAGCGUCCAGGACUGGGCGCCAAGAGGCCAUGGAGAGCACGCCAGGUCCUUUUACUAUCCAGGCAGAGCUGGGCAGAUGGAUUUGCACCAGAGGGCCACCCUGUCUCCUACAGGUGGUCUCACACUGGCUUGGGGUCCAUGACCUGGUCUGGCUGAGGCCUGGCCUGAGUCAGGGUGUCGGUUCCUGGAAGAUCCUUGUGUCCAAGACUGCAGUGAGGGUCCUCAGUGGGUUUGCCAGUAAGGUUGAGUUCGGGUCAGGCUGAAGAGGCCGCUGGGCCAUGGAUUCGGUCCAGCCAGGCAGUUCCCAGGGAUGUGGGCACAUGUGUCCACGCCUCCUCCUGAAAGAAACGUUCCCCAAAUCAAAUUCAAUCAGCUGCCCCUGAGGGGGAGCCCCGCCCACCUUCCUGGGACCACCAGGCAGGGUCCCAACCCACUUAGGGCAACUCAUGUGAAGAAGGUGGAAUGGCAUGUGGGGUGGUGUGGGGUGCGGGGUGGUGUGGCAGUGGGGUUCUGUGGCAUGCCGUGUUCACUGGGUGUGGGGUUUUGUUGGGUACAGGGUGCUGUGGUAUGGGGGAUGUUGGAUUGGAGUUUGUGGUGUGCAGGUUGGUGUGGUGUGUUGGGUGGUAUGGGGUUUGGGAUGGUGUUCGGUAUGCAUUGCUGUAGGGUGUGGGGUGCUGUGGGUAGUGUGUGCGGGGUGCUGUGUGGGGUGUGUGGUGCGGGGCGCACAGUGGCAUUGGGUAAGUGUGAUGUGACCAAGUGGCCCAAUGGCCACAGUGCUGGGGUAGUACCAGCUCAUGGUUCCAGCCCCACCUUCCUGUUGUCCCUGUCCAGCCAGAGGGGCUCAGAGGUCCUCUCAGAGAGGGGUCUCUGUGCCUUCCAGCCUUGACCCUCAUGUGUCCUGAAGGAGGGAGCUUCCCGAGCUGCUGGCUGGAUCCCAGUGGACGGUGGCUUUGGGGCCCUCCUGGUCUUGGGAGGGCCCUCAGGGGUGCCCUUUGGAGGGAGGCCUGGCUGCAAUCUGGGCGGCUUCGGCUCAUUGACUUCACGGUCCGAUGGGCUAGGACAGGAGCCUGGCGGUGGUGACUGCUGCCGUGUCAGGGAAGCUGGGGGCUGUGGGCCUUCCGUGUGCCUGUAGCCCCAGCAGGUGUGGGUUCUGGCUGCACUGCUGUGGGAGUCACCGUACCUGUGGGAUGUGGCCCUGCUCAAAAUCCUGGGCACAGCGUCACGGCCUCUCGAGGACAGAGAUGGGAUUUUUGAUGGACGCUGUGACUCUGUGGUUGUAAUUACUCUAUCCAGGAGAAUAAUACCACAGUGACACAGCCCCGCCCCGAAACCCCUCCGAGAGGUGUGGUGAGUGGGAAUCCGGGUUGUAGAGGCUGACCUGUGCAUGGAGGCAGAGCCCUGGGGAGGCUGUGGGUGGGCUCAGCACAUGGGUGUCCUGCUGGGAGCAUGAGGAAACUCCCCUAGCAGGUGCACAGCUGCCACGCCCAGCGCUGUCCUGACAUAUCAGGCUGGCGUUUGUGCUCAUUUUGCUGACCAUAGUGGCUGCUGGGAACAAGGGAGCUGGCUGUCCAGCCUUUGAGCUGGAAAUGUUCCCAGACUCAUCUUCCAGAAUGUUCUGCCUCUGUCUUUCUGUGGAGGCAGCUGCGGGUUUCUCAGGCUGGAAAGCAGUGUAGCGGUUUGUGGGCGGGUGUGCUGGUGAGCAAAGGAUUCUGUGCAGACAAGAGAUAGGUGGUGCUGUCGCUCAUCACACCCUGUGGGUGGCCACGGGCCUGCGGUCCCUUGGGAGUAACUGAUAGACAGGCAGGCGUCAGCAAGUUAUGGGUCCCCCAUGCCACAAUGCUAAACAGGAAGGGUGGAGCUCUGUGAGUGUCAGAUGUGCUGUGAGGCUGGUGGGAGUGGGGUUGUCACGUGGGAGCCUGAGAGUGCACGGCUUCCUGCUCACUGUCUGCGCAGGAGCCAGGCCCUGGGGGGAGGAGGAGGCGGCCCGGUGCACACGUGGGCUCCCGUGUCACUGUGCUGCAGGCGUGGGACACCCGUGCAUCUCUGGGCUGCAGGAUGGGGAACUGACCAGUGGCCCGGCCCAGCAGGCUGACCCUUUGGAAAGGACCUCUUUUGGGGGCAUGGUGUCGCCAGCUCCCUCCUGGGACUUAGAGGUGAUAUUGUGACACUGAGGACAUGCUGCGCCUGUCACCCUCGCUGCUGGGAGCUCUUGGCAGGAGGUCCGCGCAGCUGCGCUGAAGAGCGUCCCUGCAGACACUGACCCAGGCAGGGUGAGGCACCUGCCACUGUCUCUAGAGCGUGAGACGACAGCCUCUCUGCACAGACUGGGCAGGGCUGCGGGCGUGCAGCCGUUCUGCGGACUCGGCGGGGGCGCAGGUGUGUGGAGAGAGGCCGGGACACACAUGGGGCCCACGGCGGAUUGACUGGAUUGGGACUUCGGUUCACGAAGGGAGUCCUGCCCUUUCUGGUGAGACAGCCACAGGCCGUCUUUUGCUGCGUGCUGGAUGAGCUACAAACCGUCCCUCGUUCCUCCUUGAAGUCUCUGUCCCGAGAGCUGGACAGAAGUUGGCCUCCUAGACUUCAUUUAUGACUUUGGCUCUUUGCUGACGUGCAAAUUAGCCCGCGUGUCUGUCUGGGAGCUUGGGAUCAUGAUAAAGCUAACGUUCCUGGGAGUCCUGGAGCAGCUCCCGCUGCAGUGAAGUCUGAAAGCUCCCAUGGAGGCCCCCUGGGCCCCAGUCGAAUGAACAGCUCGAGUCCUGCUGUGGUUAAAUGAGGCAGCGUGUCCAGAGCACUGGGAUCGCGGCCGCCAUGUGGGCACGGUGGCCGCUGGACAGAGAGCCCCAGGAAGGAAGCAGCGUCCCUGCAGGAGCACUGAGAAGAGAGGUGGACGCACCUGCUGCCAGUGGACCACCAUGGGCCUUCGCCUGGGAGCACCACCUUGUGGGGACCGCGGGAACAGGACCAGGGGGCAUGUCACCUCCAGCUCGAGGGUGUCAUGCUGUGUUCUGCUCCUGGGCCCAGAGGGUCAGCGGUGCGGCUGUGAAUUUCCUGGCUGGGCAUCGGCUCCACAAGCCUUGGUGCCUUUCGGGGGCGGGCGCACCUCCCCGACGGGGAGCCGGGGGUGGGGGCCGACAAGUCAGGUGCAGCAGACGAGGGGCAUUCUGGGUGGAGGGACGUGGUGGCAAUAAUCUCACAAGAACAGCUUGCAUGGGCUGAGGGCUUGGUGCAGGCUGGACACCGCACUCUGAAGCACACCAUUUCAUCUGGUCCUGAGUGCUGAUCCACGGGGGCCAUCAUCAUCAUCAUCAUCAUCAUCAUCAUCAUCAUCGUCUUCAUCUUCCCGCUGUGUGGACAGAGAGCCUGAGGCACAGGCAGUGAAGGAACCGGCAUGAGACCACCUGUUGGUGGCAGAGCCAGGUUUCUCUGGAAGGAGGGUGUUGUGUGUAGGUGACACGGCAGGUGGAUGGUUAGAGCUCGCCCUGACAGGCGAUGGAGCAGCGUUUGGGUCUGGCUGACCAUGUGUGGACAGUGGGAAGAGGCUCGUGGAGUCCAGGGCAGGGAUUCACAGUGUGUUCAGGCUCAGAGUGUGGACGCUGGAGCGUUGGGUCUGCCCUAGUCCCUGAGUCCUGGGUCUGGACGGUGCCAUGCUGGACGGAGGAUGCACCAUGUCCUGCCGUCUGUGCCCAGUGGUGUGACUGUGGGAACAGCACAGGUGUCUAUCUGCCACCUGUGGGGCUGGUGUCCACUCGUCUAUAGGCGUCCCUGUUGGGACGACCACGGGGGUUUGGGGAGAACGGACUUCUGCCCUCAUCUCCUGCAGGUCACCUCCAGAGCCACAAGGGGACCACUCCCUGGGCCCUAGGCUGAGUGGCGUGGCCAGUCCUGGCAGCCCCAGUGCAGAGUGGACUUUCCUUCUGGGGCUGUGGCUUGAUGAGGCUCUGCACCCCCCUCCAAUUGUCCCUGGCAGUCCCCAGCCCGCAGUGACUGUGGUGACCACAGUGCUGGCCCCCAGAGUGGUGACAGAGUUGGCGUCUAUGAUGGUGAAGGGUGGCCGAGCCCAGGAGGAGGUUGCGAGCCUGUGGUCGAGACAGCAAAGCCCUCCUGAUUUUGAGGAGUUGUUUUUGGGGAGUGACAGGCGGACAAAAUCAGUGACCCCCUUCUGGAACAUUCCUCCUCCACACUUCCACUUGGACCCCAGCCUUUGGCCAAUAUCCCCCCUCUCCAACUACCCCCAUUCACCCCUGGGGGUCUCACUUCCUGGAGCCAUGGUGGAGUUGGGUAAGUAUUUCUGGAACCUUCCAUCUUUGAGCUUUAAAAACCUUCUGAAGAUUUUAAGUGUGUUGACCCCAAGGAAUUGUGGAGAAAUUGAGGAGGGGCACAAGCCACAUGGUGAGCAGCCAGUCUGCAGAGCGCAGGGGCCGUGACGUGAGGGCUGGGGAUAGCCUCUCCUGCUGGCCUCCGUGGUUUGACAAACAAGAAUGACCGGAACCUUCCAUGGGGACUCCUGAGAAACCUAGGAUGGAGAGCAGGCGCACACAGCACAGAUGGACACGUGCGUGUGCACACACACUCACACACACACACACAUGUGCACAGCAUCCACCUUAACAGGAACAGGAGAAAGUCUGAGAAUAAGCACA